GACGAACGCUGGCGGCGUGCUUAACACAUGCAAGUCGAGCGGUAAGGCCCUUUCGGGGGUACACGAGCGGCGAACGGGUGAGUAACACGUGGGUGACCUGCCCUCAGUUCUGGGAUAAGCCUGGGAAACCGGGUCUAAUACUGGAUAUGACCUCAUGACGCAUGUUGUGGGGUGGAAAGCCUUGUGCGACUGAGGAUGGGCCCGCGGCCUAUCAGCUUGUUGGUGGGGUGAUGGCCUACCAAGGCGACGACGGGUAGCCGGCCUGAGAGGGCGACCGGCCACACUGGGACUGAGACACGGCCCAGACUCCUACGGGAGGCAGCAGGUGGGGAAUCUUGCGCAAUGGGCGAAAGCCUGACGCAGCGACGCCGCGUGAGGGAUGACGGCCUGGUGU
rnacentral:rRNA from 1 species